UGAGAGUCCAGUUGAAGUGUUAAGCAGUCAGCUUGUAGAUAGAAACUGUCUCUGAGCCUGUUGGUGUCAAACCUCAUGCUCCGAUAACGUCUGCCAGACAGUAAGAAAGUGAACAGCUUGUGGCUGGGGUGUGUGGGAUCCUUCAUGAUGAUGCGGGCCUUCCUCAGGCACUGUUUCAAGUCCUGGAUGGGUAGAAGCCCGGUCCAACCAGUCAGAACGCUCUCAGCGGUGCAGCGGUAGUAUUUGGAGAGGACCCGGGGUGGCAUGCCGACAUUCUUCAGCCGCUUUAGGAAGUAGAGAUGCUAUUGCGCCCUCUUGACAAGAGUGGUGGUGUUGUUGGUCCAUGACAAGUCCUCAAUGAUGUGGACGCAGAGGAACUUAAAACUGCUGACUCUGUCUACUGCGGUCCCGUUGAUGUGGAUCAGGGCAUGUUCCCUCCUCUGCUUCCUGAAGUUAACAACCAACUCCUUUGUUUUGCUGACAUUGAGGAAGAGGUUGUUGUUUUGGCACCACAAUGCCAGCUCACUUACCUUCUCCCUGUAGGAUGACUCGUCGUUGUUGGUUAUCAGGCCUACAACCACGUCUAAGGGCACAGGAUACAGACACGGGAGGCAGAUGGUUCGAGUCUCUGAUAUUUAUUAUGAUCCAAGGGGCAGGCAAGAGAAUGGUUGUGGACAGGCAAAAUAUCAUAAACUAGGUCAGAGUCCAGGAGGUACAGAGUGGCAGGCAGGCUCGAGGUCAAAACCGGGAGGACUAGCAAAACAGAGAUAAGGAAAAAGCAGGAGCAUGGAAAAACACGCUGGUUGACUUGACAAGACAAGACAAACUGGCAACAGACAAACAGGGAACACAGGAAUAAGUACCCAGGGACUAAUGGGGAAAACAGGUGACACCUGAAGGUGGGUGGAGACAAUCACAAAGGCAGGGGAAACAGAUCAGGGCGUGACACCGCGGGGUCGUCAGAAAACUUGAUGAUGGAGUUGGUGUCGUGCAAAGCGACACAGUCGUGGGUGAACAGGGAGUAAGGUGGGCCCCUGUGUUAAGAGUCAGUGUGGAGGAGGUGUUGUUGGGCAUCCUUACAGCCGUGGUCUGACCAUCAGGAAGUCCAGGAUCCAGUUGCAGAGGGUGGUGUCCAGACCCAGGCCUCUGAGAUUGGUAUUGAGCUUGGAGGGAACAAUAUUAUUGAAUUCUGAACUGUAGCCAAUGAACAGCAUUCUCACAUAGGUGUUCGUCUUGUCCAGAUGUGUUACGGCCUCGUGAAUAUGGAUGGAAAUGGCAUCUUCCAUGGAUCUGUUGGAGAAUUAGGAAAAUUGGACUGGGUCCAAUGUGAUUGGCAUGCUGGCCUUGAUGUGGGCCAUUACCGACCUCUCGAAACACUUCAUGAUGCCUAGGGUGAAUGUGACAGGUGAUAGUUAUUUGGGCAUGUCACCAUGUUUUUCUUAGGCACUGGGAUGAUGGUGAUCUGUCUCUUUAAAGUAGGUGGGGACUACAGCCUGGGACUGGGACAGGGACUACAGCCUGGGACUGGGACUGGGACAGGGACUACAGACUGGGACUGGGACUGGGACAGGUUGAAGAUUUGGCCGUAGCCAUGGUCUGAGUUUUAAUGAGGUCUAGGGGGAUUUCGGGGGGAAAUGUUAAGAAAGUUGAAGCUCAUCACCAUCACAUCUCCUCCACCAUGCUUCAUGUUGGGAACCACAAACGUGGAGAUCAUCCGUUCACCCACUCUGCGUCUCACAAAGACAUGGCGGUUGCAACCAAAAAUUGCACAUUUGGACUCAUCACACCAAAGGAAAGAUUUCCAUUGCGUGUGUUUCUUGGCCCAAGCUUGUCUCUUCUUCUUAUUGGUGUCCUUUAGUAGUGGUUACUUUGCAGCAAUUCAACCACGAAGGCCUGAUUCACGCAGUCUUCUCUGAACAGUUGAUGUUGAGAUGUGUCUGUUACUUGAACUCUGUGAAGCAUUUAUUUGGGCUGCAAUUUCUGAGUCUGGUAACUCUAAUGAACUUAUCCUCUGCAGCAGAGGUAACUCUGGGUCUUCCUUUCCUGUGGCUGUCCUCAUGAGAGCCAGUUUCAUCAUAGCGCUUGAUGGUUUUUGCAACUGCACUUGAAGAAACUUUAAAAGUUCUUAAAAUUGUACACAUUGACUGAUCUUCAUGUCUUAAAGUAAUGAUGGACUGUCAUUUCUCUUUGCUUAUUUGAGCUGUUCUUGCCAUAAUAUACCACCCUUACCUUGUCACAACACAACUGAUUGGCUCAAACACAUUAAGAAGGAAAGAAAUUCCACAAAUUAACUUUUAACAAGGCACACCUGUUAAUUGAAAUGCAUUCCAGGUGACUACCUCAUGCAGCUGUUUGAGAGAAUGCCAAGAGUGUGCAAAGCUGUCAUCAAGGCAAAGGGUGACUACUUUGGAGAAUGUCAAAUAUAACAUAUAUUUUGAUUUGUUUAACACUUUUUUGGUUACUACAUGAUUCUAUAUGUGUUAUUUCAUAGUGUUGAUGUCUUCACUAUUACUCUAC
rnacentral:lncRNA from 1 species